rnacentral:rRNA from 1 species
UACGGGGGGGGCAAGCGUUGUUCGGAAUUACUGGGCGUAAAGGGCUCGUAGGCGGCCAACUAAGUCAGACGUGAAAUCCCUCGGCUUAACCGGGGAACUGCGUCUGAUACUGGAUGGCUUGAGAUUGGGAGAGGGAUGCGGAAUUCCAGGUGUAGCGGUGAAAUGCGUAGAUAUCUGGAGGAAUACCGGUGGCGAAGGCGGCAUCCUGGACCGGCAUUGACGCUGAAGCGCGAAAGCUAGGGGAGCAAACGGG